rnacentral:rRNA from 1 species
GAUGAACGCUGGCGGCGUGCUUAACACAUGCAAGUCGAACGGGAAACCUUUUAUUGAAGCUUCGGCAGAUUUAGCUGGUUUCUAGUGGCGGACGGGUGAGUAACGCGUGGGUAACCUGCCUUAUACAGGGGGAUAACAGUCAGAAAUGGCUGCUAAUACCGCAUAAGCGCACAGAGCUGCAUGGCUCAGUGUGAAAAACUCCGGUGGUAUAAGAUGGACCCGCGUUGGAUUAGCUGGUUGGUGGGGUAACGGCCCACCAAGGCGACGAUCCAUAGCCGGCCUGAGAGGGUGAACGGCCACAUUGGGACUGAGACACGGCCCAGACUCCUACGGGAGGCAGCAGUGGGGAAUAUUGCACAAUGGGGGAAAGCCUGAUGCAGCGACGCCGCGUGAAGGAAGAAGUAUCUCGGUAUGUAAACUUCUAUCAGCAGGGAAGAUAAUGACGGUACCUGAAGAAGAAGCCCCGGCUAACUACGUG